rnacentral:lncRNA from 1 species
UAUUUUGGGCAAAUCACUGCCCCAAUCACUUCUCUGUGAGUCAGUCCUCUAUGUCUCUGCGAGUGAUUUGGCCAGUGAUCUUCGAGUGUCUUGGGCAAAUCACUUGCCAUAUCACUACUGCCUGUUGCCUCCGGGUUUCUGCUUCAGCUUGAUCUGGGCAGUGAUUGGAGCAGAUUAUCUGGUGGUCUUGGGCAAAUCAUCCUUUUGUAAAUUUUCUGCACUUUUUCUUCCAUUUUCCAAUUUCUUCCUUUUAUGUAAAAACAAGAUAAAAACCAUAAAUUAAACUGAAAAAUGUGUAAAUAAGCAAUAAUAAUUAUGAUAAAAAUGUGGCUAAAUUAU